GUUACAUCCCCCUGCAGCUCUCUCUUGGGCUAAACAAGCCAAAUCCCUCCACUAUUUCACAAGUCACAGCAUCUAAGGCUUCCACUGAUUAUUACAUCACAAAUCAGUUUUGACUUUAUCUGGCAGGUGGUUAAAAUCUCCCAUACAAAUGAGGAACUGUGAUCCAGAGGCUCCCUCAGGUUUUAGAGAGAUUUCAUCCACUUUCUUGCUGUGCUGGUUUGACCCCAGCUGAAGGCCAGGUGUCCACCAAAGCCACUCUAUUACUCCCUCCUCGACUGGACAGGCAGGAGUAAGAUGGCUAAGCAGCAGCACUCAUUAAAGAAGCAUGAGAUUCCCCAGGGCUAUUGAAUCAAGCUUGAAAUAAAAAAUGUCUUAAUCA